UUUCUUUAAUUAUUUUAAUUUAGUAAAUGUCAGGUCAAGGUGCAGCUAUAUUAUAGGUUGAAAUGGGUUACAUUUAAUGUAUAUUAAUUGGAAUAUUAAUUGGAAAUUUAAUAUUAAAUAGGAUUUGAAAGUAAUUUUGAUUAUUUUAUUAGGAUGAUUUUAGCUCUAAAUUAUGCACACAUCGCCCGUCGUUCUCAUUAUUAAGGUGAGAUAAGUCGUAACAAAGUAAUUUUACU
rnacentral:rRNA from 1 species